rnacentral:rRNA from 1 species
CCUACGGGUGGCAGCAGUGAGGAAUAUUGGUCAAUGGGCGUAAGCCUGAACCAGCCAAGCCGCGUGAGUGAUGAAGGUUCUAUGGAUCGUAAACCUCUUUUAUAAGGGAAUAAAGUGCGGGACGUGUCCCGUUUUGUAUGUACCUUAUGAAUAAGGAUCGGCUAACCCCGUGCCAGCAGCCGCGGUAAUACGGAGGGUCCGAUCGUUAUGCGGAUUGAUUGGGGUUAAAGGGUGCGUAGGCGGCCUUUUAAGUCAGCGGUGAAAGUCUGUGGCUCAACCAUGGAAUUGCCGUUGAAACUGGGAGGCUUGAGUAUGUUAGAGGCAGGCAGAAUGCGUGGUGUAGCGGUGAAAUGCUUAGAGAUCACGCAGAACCCCGAUGGCGAAGGCAGCCUGCCAGGCCAUGACUGACGCUGAUGCACGAAAGCGUGGGGAUCAAACAGGAUUAGAUACCCGGGUAGUC